AUACUUACCUGGCAGGGGAGAUACCAUGAUCACGAAGGUGGUUUUCCCAGGGCGAGGCUUAUCCAUUGCACUCCGGAUGUGCUGACCCUUGCGAUUUCCCCAAAUGUGGGAAACUCGACUGCAUAAUUUGUGGUAGUGGGGGACUGCGUUCGCGCUCUCCCCUG
rnacentral:snRNA from 1 species